UACGUAGGGUGCAAGCGUUGUCCGGAAUUAUUGGGCGUAGAGCUCGUAGGCGGUCUGUCACGUCGGCUGUGAAAACCCGAGGCUCAACCUCGGGCCUGCAGUCGAUACGGGCAGACUAGAGUUCGGUAGGGGAGACUGGAAUUCCUGGUGUAGCGGUGAAAUGCGCAGAUAUCAGGAGGAACACCGGUGGCGAAGGCGGGUCUCUGGGCCGAAACUGACGCUGAGGAGCGAAAGCGUGGGGAGCGAACAGG
rnacentral:rRNA from 1 species